UGGCAGCAGCCAGGGCUCCCCACCACCCCCAGUGCUGCUGCAGGGUCAGAUUCCUGGAAGAGGAGCAGUGUACCUUCUACAUAUGGCCAUGGCAGAGUAACUGGGAUCAGAUUUCCUUCCCAAUAUAAACAAUAAGAAAACUAGACGAAAGAUAUAAAACAACUGUUUUCAAACAUUGAACAACUGGCAGUGCAGGAUUGUGAUCCUUGUGAGCAGACUGGGACACUGGUCUUCUCCUUCCUUUGGACUCAGACUCAGACUUAGACUGGAAUUUACAACAUCAACUCACCUGGGUUUCCAGCUUGCCAACUUCAGAUCUUGGACUUCUCAUCUUCUAUAAUCAGGAUCUGUUCCAGAAGGAACUGCUGGAUCAAAGCAUGUGCGAACUCUUAAGGCUUCUGAUACAUAUUGCCAAAUUACCACUCGAAGGACUUACCAGCAGUGAAUGGGAGAACCUCUUCCCCAGGGUCCUGACCCACCCAACCAUAAACACACAAUAAGGAAGUAAGGGGGAUGGGGGAGGGAUAUUAAUGUUUUAAUUUGUUCUUUUGUUUAUAAGUA
rnacentral:lncRNA from 10 species